rnacentral:rRNA from 1 species
CAGCAGCCACGGUAAUACGAAGGGGGCUAGCGUUGCUCGGAAUGACUGGGCGUAAAGGGCGCGUAGGCGGCGAUCAAAGUCAGGCGUGAAAUUCCUGGGCUCAACCUGGGGGCUGCGCUUGAUACUUGGUUGCUUGAGUGGGGAAGAGGGUCGUGGAAUUCCCAGUGUAGAGGUGAAAUUCGUAGAUAUUGGGAAGAACACCGGUGGCGAAGGCGGCGACCUGGUCCUUGACUGACGCUGAGGCGCGAAAGCGUGGGGAGCAAACAGGAUUAGAUACCCCAGUAGUCCCUGUCUCUUAUAC